AUUGAACGCUGGCGGCAGGCCUAACACAUGCAAGUCGAACGGUAACAGGAAGCAGCUUGCUGCUUCGCUGACGAGGGGCGGACGGGUGAGUAAUGUCUGGGAAGCUGCCUGAUGGAGGGGGAUAACUACUGGAAACGGUAGCUAAUACCGCAUAAUGUCGCAAGACCAAAGAGGGGGACCUUCGGGCCUCUUGCCAUCGGAUGUGCCCAGAUGGGAUUAGCUUGUUGGUGGGGUAACGGCUCACCAAGGCGACGAUCCCUAGCUGGUCUGAGAGGAUGACCAGCCACACUGGGACUGAGACACGGUCCAGACUCCUACGGGAGGCAGCAGUGGGGAAUAUUGCACAAUGGGCGCAAGCCUGAUGCAGCCAUGCCGCGUGUAUGAAGAAGGCCUUCGGGUUGUAAAGUACUUUCAGCGGGGAGGAAGGGAGUAAAGUUAAUACCCUUGCUCAUUGACGUUACCCGCAGAAGAAGCACCGGCUAACUCCGUG
rnacentral:rRNA from 1 species